rnacentral:misc_RNA from 1 species
UACUCAACGCCCGGCGUGCACAGUCCCACACUCACCAGCAGCCGUGCUCUCUAUUCUCCCGUGCACCCGUUAUUGUGUGUGUGUGUGUCUGGAAGGGGGUGUGCAGAAGGGCGAAUAGCGUAACAGACAAGCCGCGGGCAUUCCUUUUCUUUGUUUGUUUCGUUGUGGUCACUGCAUUGCAUCUCGGUCCCGCCACCUGCACGCCAUCGGAGUUGUCUCACCUCCCAGCCUUCUGGUCCGCUUGAUUUUGCUCAUCCCCUCCUCUUCGUUCCUUUCCUUGUGAGCCCCGACGCGUGGACACAGGCGAAUGCUGCGGCGGGGUCUUCUACGUCUAGUGCGUGCCUUGUCAGCGGAUGCGUCGCUCGUUUCGCUGCCGCGGAACGUGCAGCGCUGCGAAGUGUUCCGCAAUGUUGUCUCACUAGAUGAGGAGGAGCUCAUUUACGCCGAGCUCAGCCGUAUUCUGCAACGCGAAGGACAGACGACCGUCUGGAAAGGGUCUACGCCGGAAGACAAGGUCAUCAAGCAUGUGUACCUGGAGAUGUUCGGCACGGAAAAGGAAUUCACUGAGGUAAAGAACUGGCAAAAGAGGGAGGUGCGCCAUCUACCGGGGUUUCUGUGGUCGCCGACAUUGCUGCGCGUGCUGAGUGACGUGGCGCCGCCGCUGAUGGGUGCAAUACCGGAUACGGCGCGGGUUGUAGAGCAUCAGAUCCCCGGCUACGAGAUGCAUGUCGAGCACCCCACCGUUGGCACUGGCUUUCUUUAUCUCAAUCUGCUGAGUGAUACCGUGUUGGACUUUGACGACGAGAGCACUGGACGGCGCGGGCAGGUGCUGCUGCCCUCUCGCGCCCUAAUGUGCGUCUCCGGCGAGGCACGCUGGGGCUUCCGCUUUGGUGAGAAGACGGAGGAGGUGCACACGUACGUCGCGGCCAACGGAACUCGCAGACGGGUGGAGACCGACAUGCGCCUCAGCGUGCAGCUGUGGAAGCUCAACCCCGAUCUCCUCGACGGGCGCCUCUUGCAGGAGAGGCUCGAGGAGAGUAUGGAGAUGGCUGGCAAACAGCUCGCGGUGGAGGUGGCUAAGCGCGUCGAGCUGGAGAAGGGCUGUGAGGAAGAUGCGGCAGUGCUGCAGCCGCCUGACGUGCAGACGCCGUCCCUCACCGCUACCGUCGAUCCGCAGCGCCCGCUCAACACGUUUUUGGCCGCGGCAAUGGAGAACGUGUCGGGCAAGGGUGUGCUUGGCGGUGAUCUGGCACAGCCGGGGGGUUGCUUGGCUUCCGGCCAGGCCGGUGCCAAGAAGACGAUGGGGGAUAUUCGCCAAGACUAUGGGCAGUACAAGCAGCAGUUCUCUAAGGUGUACGGUAUCCUGCAGGACUUGAAGGUGAUGCAGGACUCCGGGCAGCCGAUCAACGACCUGUGGUUGAAAAAAAAGAUGACGGAGUCGUCCUCGGUGGACGCGGAGAAGGAUCGCGAAGACGGCUUCGAUGCCUCCAACAUCGAAGGAACGUGGGAUAAGGUCGACGCCAAGGCGCGCUUCUAUAAAGCGAAGCUGAAGGCCAUGGACUACGACGGCACCGCCUUCCUCAACUCUCGCAUGCCUGACAUCUCGCAGGACGCCCCACUCGACAUGCGCAGCACGAUUCGUAAGAUGGCCCCCCAUGUCAAGGAUGGCGACAAGAUUCUCGCCAGCCUCCCCAACUCCGGCUGAGGGCACACGUCUCCCUUUCAUCUCCCCCUCUUUGUGCAUUCUGCUAUGCAACAUUUUAUUGUAGUUGUCGCCAUGAGUGGUGCGCUGCUGUGAUGGCUCCUCCGACAGUUUUCCCCUUCUCGCUCCCUCUUAUCGAUCUCCUCCACGCUCUACAAACCUCGACAUGCCGUGCUGCCCAAGCUCCGUCGAAGGGGUCAACGCUGAAGCGGAAGCGCCCAAUCUGUAAAACAAGAAACAAUAUCUGUGAGUUUAUCUCUGUGUGUGUGUGUGUGUGUGCAUGUGCGUGUGCGGCCAUACACAAAGUGAGGGAUGCCGCGCUCGAGUACAUAUUCUCACUCUCUCGCUCUCACGAGCGCCUCUGUGUUCACGUGUUGGCUAAUUGCUUUACUGGAUGGGUGGCUUCAGCCCCCUCUCCCCUCCCUACUCACCGCACUGCAUCCUUUGCUUGUGGUAUCUCGCUACACAGAGUGUCCUCACUUAUCUCUCGUAUUUCCUUGCGUUCUCAUGCUCAACUCGAUAG